AUUGAACGCUGGCGGCAGGCCUAACACAUGCAAGUCGAGCGAGCGGCGGACGGGUGAGUCAUGCCUCGGAAUCUGCCUGGUCGUGGGGGAUAACGUCCGUAAACGGGCGCUCAUACCGCAUACUCUCAGAUUCGCCUAGGGCGGAUUAGCUAGUUGGUGGGGGAAAGGCCUACCACGGCGACGAUCCCUAGCUGGUGUGAGAGGAUGACCAGCAACACUGGAACUGAGACACGGACCAGACUCGUACGGGAGGCAGCAGGGGGGAAUAUUGCACAAUGGGCGCAAGCCUGAUGCAGCCAUGCCGCGUGUAUGAAGAAGGCCUUCGGGUUGUAAAGUACUUUCAGCGGGGAGGCGUUACCCGCAGAAGAAGCACCGGCUAACUCCGGGCCAGCAGCCGCGGUAAUAG
rnacentral:rRNA from 1 species